ACGGGUGAGUAACACGUGAGCAAUCUGCCCUUCUCAUCGGAAUAAGCGUUGGAAACGACGUCUAAUGCCGAAUAUGACCUCCUUUCGCAUGAUCGGAGGUGGAAAGCUCCGGCGGAGAAGGAUGAGCUCGCGGCCUAUCAGCUAGUUGGUGAGGUAAUAGCUCACCAAGGCGACGACGGGUAGCCGGCCUGAGAGGGUGACCGGCCACACUGGGACUGAGACACGGCCCAGACUCCUACGGGAGGCAGCAGUGGGGAAUAUUGGACAAUGGGCGAAAGCCUGAUCCAGCAACGCCGCGUGAGGGAUGACGGCCUUCGGGUUGUAAACCUCUUUCAGCGGGGACGAAGCGAAAGUGACGGUACCCGCAGAAGAAGGACCGGCCAACUACGUGCCAGCAGCCGCGGUAAUACGUAGGGUCCGAGCGUUGUCCGGAAUUAUUGGGCGUAAAGGGCUCGUAGGCGGUUUGUCGCGUCGGGAGUGAAAACUCAGGGCUCAACCCUGAGCGUGCUUCCGAUACGGGCAGACUAGAGGUAUGCAGGGGAGAACGGAAUUCCUGGUGUAGCGGUGGAAUGCGCAGA
rnacentral:rRNA from 1 species